GACGAACGCUGGCGGCGUGCUUAACACAUGCAAGUCGAACGGAAAGGCCCUGCUUUUGUGGGGUGCUCGAGUGGCGAACGGGUGUGUAACACGUGAGUAACCUGCCCUUGCCUGUGGGAUAACUUCGGGAAACAGGGGCUAAUACCGGAUAGGAGCUCCUGCUGCAUGGUGGGGGAUGGAAAGUAUCGGCGGUUGGGGAUGGGCUUGCGGCUUAUCAGCUUGUUGGUGGGGUAGUGGCUUACCAAGGCUUUGACGGGUAGCCGGCCUGAGAGGGUGACCGGGCAAAAUGGGACUGAGGUAACGGCCAGAAUUCUACGGGGGGCAAGAGGUGGGAAUAUUGCGAAAUGGGCGGAAGACUGAUACAGAAACAUUGCGUGCGGGAUAUCGGCUUUCGGGUAAUGAACAGCGUUCGCAGGUGACAAGGAGCGAGUGACGGUACCGAGUGAAGAAGCACCGGCUAACUACGUG
rnacentral:rRNA from 1 species